rnacentral:rRNA from 1 species
UACGUAGGGUGCGAGCGUUGUCCGGAAUUAUUGGGCGUAAAGGGCUCGUAGGCGGUUUGUCGCGUCGGGAGUGAAAUCCACUGGCUUAACUGGUGGCUUGCUUUCGAUACGGGCAGACUGGAGGUAUGCAGGGGAGAACGGAAUUCCUGGUGUAGCGGUGAAAUGCGCAGAUAUCAGGAGGAACACCGGUGGCGAAGGCGGUUCUCUGGGCCGAUACUGACGCUGAGGAGCGAAAGCGUGGGGAGCGAACAGG